CGCGGCGCGGCUGCCGAGGGGCUGACCGCAGCAGGGCCGAGGAGCCGCCCCGCCGUUGGGACGCGUCGUAUUUAAGCGCCGCAGCCCGGGGCGUGGGGUUGCCGGCCGGGGGUGUCUUCGCUCUCGGCGGCCGCGCAGGGACGUUGUAACGAGAGACGGGCCUGCCCCGCCCCACGAGCCCCAGCGCCAAAGCCGGCCGGCAGGCAGGGGCGUCGUUCAGCGACCAGGGGCCUUUCUUCAGGGUCACCGCUGCCGCCGCUCUCCAGGGCUGGAGUUCCGCGGCUGAACUUGGCGUGCGUGAGGUGGCUCCUCUUACCCGCUCCCGCCCGCCCGCGCCCAGCCGUUCCCAAACUGCGGUGUGCCCGGAAAUCUCCCAGGCGCCGCGGUUUCACAAGGGCUGUUCGUGAGCUGCGCCGGCCCGGGCACGUGCAAGCGGAGGACUCCUUGCCCAGGGAAGACGCACAUUUGCACCCAACAAACGAACGGUUACUUGUACACAUAAGAUGCCUUGCCGCGUUAACUUUUUAAAUUGAUUUGUUUGUGAAAAUGCAUGGGAUGUGGGAGGAAAGAUGUACACGGGCCGCAGAGCUGUGAAUUUAGUCUUCUUCUAGGAACUACUUGUCACAGAACCAGGAAGGCUAUGUGGCACACCCCAUUCUAAAAAAUGGCCACUGAAGAUGACUGAGCCGUACGCUAACAGCGCUGAGCCUUGUCAGACUGCGCAUCAGGCGGCUCCGGGAGCACUUCCUGCGUUGAGAUUGCGUUUCAGGCUCACUCUUUGCAGUGCUGCCGAGGCACAACGCAUCAAUAACGACUAACACACACAGGUGUGGCUUAGUACUGCGCUGUCUCCAUCUGCAGUGGGAAAUGAGAGAGGGACAGAUUCUCUUUUUUACCCUAAGGCCUCUUUACGCCGUGCUGGCAGUUUAAACAGACAUUGAAGCCCCAGUGUCAAACUGUUGUAAAGGAGUCUUAGGGCAGGUCUGCAUUACCGCUUGAGUCGAUGUAACUUAUGUCACUCAGGGGUGUGAAAAAGACCCCCCACACACACACUGAGCGAUGCAAAUUAGAGCGACCUAAGCGCUGACGUUCUCCCUCCAACAUAGUUUCCGCCUCUCACAGAAGUGGAGUAAUUGUGCCGAUGGGAGAGCGCUCUCCCACUGGCACAGAGCGUCUUCACCAGACACACUAGAGUGGAGCAGCUGCGUCAGUGAAGUUGCGCCAAUGUAGCACUUCUAGUGUCGACCUGCCCUAUGUGUAAAUGAGAAUCUGGGUCAGAAAAGUUAAGUGACUUGAGUCAGUGGCAGAACUGGGACUAGACCUUAGGGGUUCCUGGCCACCAAUCCCCUACUUAUCUCUAGCCCACACUGCCUCUCAUAGGCCGUGUCGCCAAACCGGAAGCAUUCCCUCCCAUAGUACACUCCACCGUUGAAUCACAGCAAACUGACAAAUUGGGAAAAGGGCCACAUCACGUCAUAACAAAAACAACAGCACUUUGGAACUGCAAUAUAAAGAUUGCUCCUCAUACUGACAGCCUGAGCGAUGUUCAAAGUACCAGAGUGAAACCAACAGGUCCCGAUAUGCUGACCCCUGCUAUCCUAAGGACGAGAAUACUCCUGUUUGUAUAACUUCUUGGACUGUUCGAACUAGGAAACUUUAGAUACCUCCCAUUAGCCUCCUACCCAAAGCAAAGGCAGGUUCCUUGAAGUCUCCAAAGACCCUCUACCCACUGAACAACAAUGUGGCACUCUUUUCUCUGAUGUCACACUCAGAAGUGCCAGCCACCUCUGCAAUCAGUAUUUGCAUGAGCGUUGCUGGCUGGAAUAGGCUGGUUGACUGGCAUAAUGAGGUGAUCCCGCUGAAAUAUCGCUUUGUGGAAUAACGUUUCCAGGAGUGAUGUCAAGAAAACAAUGGUCUUGUGCCAGAGAAACCCACCACUAAACCAGAGUCUGAGAUAUCUGUGGAUAACCUGGUAGAUCUUCUAAUCCCACCUACGGUCCCUCUCUGCCUCCCCCUCACUGGUAUAAAUCAGUAGUAACCUUAAUGAAAUCCACACAGCUGCACCAGUGCUAAAUAGGGUUAAGUGAGGGCCUUAGCACCUAAACUAUGCUGUUAUGAUCCUGGCCCCUGGCUCCCGCCCCUUAGACAGUGCAACCACAGGAAAGGGAGGGCACCACCUCAGAAGAUGCCAUGGCAUCCUGGAGUCUGUUGGGGAGGGCUAUCUUUCAACCCCUGUGGAGUACACUGGCUGCAGGGAGAAGGCACAGGAAUGACCCCCUUCUGAUUCAAAGGCCAAAAAAUACUUAUUUCAUACAAGGGAACUGGUAUAUUAAUGGAAGGAAAAUCAAUUGACUCAACAUGUUUCCAGCCUGGAGACAAAUCAUGGCAGGGACCAGUGAAAUUGUACGACUCAAUUAUACACGUUAAUGCAAAGUAAUUUGAAUUGUUUACAGAUUGUAUCAAUAUUACAAUGAAAUCCUGGUGAUCUGUGCUGGCAGCAGUACAGAUGUGAUUGGCUUUACUGGGCAGGCUGCUGAGCACACAACAGCUGCUUUGUCUGCCGGCAUGCAGUCCCUUUGCCACAGAUUCUGUAAAGUGCUCUGAAAUAUGGUGUUCUUUGUGUAAUACGGUCUGGUGCAUCAUAAGAACUAUAGCUGAAUACCAGGACCUUUUAUAUAAUAUUUUUUGUAAUGAUGUUAUUUUAAGGACCCGAUUUAAUGCUAAGUGAAGUAAACAGAAAGUUUCUCAUCAACUUCAUUGGGUUUUGGAUCAGGCCCCAUGUUACAACAGGGACAGAUGCUAAAAUGUUUAGUGUUAUUUGCAUAAAAGAUACUAUAACCUUGGAUCCAUUACAAUUUUGCAUAGUACAUGCAACUCAAAGAGUACAAACAAAAGGAACACCCAAAUAGAAAUGACAAAGUCAGCAUCUAGGACUGCACAGUGUUUAAGGCAGGUAACAUCAUGUGUAAGAGCAGACAAUGAGAAAUAUUACUUAUGACAAGGAUUAUCAAAAGAAAUAUGUAGUUUGACUGGCACUGAGGAAGUGAUUUUCCAAGGAAUCUCUGGGUUGUCUCUUGCUACAUUAGAAUAAUGAAAGGACUGGCUCAGUUGACAAGAUUAAAAUACAGUUUUGCUACCUGCAAGAUUCCAGAUUUCUUGACCAUUAAGAAGAAUGGUCCUGAACAAUCUUGUGGUCCAUACAAAUCCUCUGGCACAUUUUUGCACAAGCAGGAGCGUUAGCCUUGGUUAAAUUCCAACUCCAGUAAUUAGCCUAGCUCCCUAACUUUAACUAAUGCAAUGCACUUUAUAUGAGGCUCCAUCUAAAAUCUAUCCAGAAACUGAAGCUGGUGCACCAUUCCGCAGCUCAUUUGUUACAGGGUACACCCUUUGGGGAACACAUGAUACCCGUGCUUUUGGAUCAGCACUGGCAACCUAUCAGGUACGUGUAGAAUCUGAACUAUGAGCUUUGCCCUACAAGGCCCUCAAUGGCCUGGGACCUAAUGAGCACGCUAUGCUGCCACAGUUGGGACUGUAGGAUAGGGACAUCUGGGUUGGAACCCCAGAGGGAGGGGGCAGGGUAUUCUGUCAGGGGCCCUCCAAUCUAAGGGUCAUACCCCACCUUGGUCCAAAAUAUCACUAGUGUAUUGACCUUCAGGGCAGGUGGUAAGGCCCCUUUUGUGUUCCUGAGCUGAGAGGAACUGGGAGGAAUCUUAUGGGGGAUUGUAAGAUUGUGACAUUACUGUCAGGUGCUGGGUGGUGAGCACAUGUUAAUUACUGGGCAAAGGGGAGUCCUGCGAGGAGCCUCUUUAUACCACUGUAUUUUAAAAAUGAGUCAAGGAGUGUCAUGUGCUCUUUUUUAUGAACAUGGGUUUAAAUCAAAAGAAUAAAUUUUACGUGCAGUUUCAGA